rnacentral:lncRNA from 1 species
GAAGAGUUAAUCAACAACUCUAAAGAAGCCCAAGCAGAGGCUGAAAAGAUCCUGAAUACAGAAAGUUUGUUACAAGCUCAGCAGCUACUACUUCAUCAUCAGCAAAGGACAAGAAGACUCCGUGCAAAGAGGCAAGAUGUGCAACAGCAGAUUUCCCAAGCUAAACAGUUGCAGGUUGAAGGUGGACUGCCCAGCACAAUGCAAGAGGAUUUACUAAAGUUGGAAGGAACAUUGGAAAACAUGCAGCAGACUAUGGAGAAACGUGAAGAGCAACUGCAGGUCACAAUAAAUAAAUGGGAGCAGUUUGAAAGGGACAAAGAAACAGUAGUAAAAUACCUCAAUCAAGCCAGCUCUGCACUUGAACGUAUCUUAAACUUUAGCAGUUUAGAGAGCCUCUCUUCAGAACUGGAUCAGACAAAG